ACCACCUCCUCUCUCUCUUUGAUUUUCACACUUCACUUUGUUACCAAAUUGGACACUUAGCUUCACACAAUGAAAAUAAGGGGUCUUUCAUCUCUCAUUACUCACACAAACCUGUGGCCCCUUUCAUUAUUCUUUUAUUGGUGGAAGCUUUUGGAUUAAAUAUUUUGGUUUCGAGAUUCAUUGUGAUGGACCUAAUGACUGGAUUGGUUGAUUUUGUGAUGCUUGGUUGAGGUGAAAUUGGUUGGCUUUUCAAGGUGUCAUUCAAAUGGAUUACAAUGAUUAUAUUGAUAAUAGUGAUGAAGAUCAUUCUUAUGAUGUGGAAGAUGAUGAUGAAUUAUAUGAUCUUGUUGCUGCUAGAUGUCAUACAACAAUGACAUAUUAUAUGAAAUAUAUUAAUAAAGAACUUUGUAGAGAUUCUAAACAAACUGACUAUAGGUGGUUGAUGGAUUGUUUGACUGGUAAUGAAGCAAAAUGUACCAAAUGUUUAGAAUGAGGCCACAUGUUUUUCUUCAAUUGUGUAAUGUUUUACAACAUAUAUAUGGACUUCGGCAUACAAGGCAUAUUAGGCUUGAAGAGUCAGUAGGUAUGUGUUUGAUGAUACUCGGACAAGGAGCAUGUAACAGGUUGGUUCAAGAAAGAUUCCAACAUUCUAGUGAGACUAUAAAUAGACACUUUCAUAGAGUUUUGAAAUGCCUUAACAUAAUAUCAAUGGAUAUCCUCAAGCCUUCUGACCCUACAUUUAGUGUAGUUCCAAGACAUAUACAAAAAAAUCCAUUGUACAUGCCACACUUUUAGGUAUGUAUUUCAAUCAUUAUAAUUUGCUUCUAAUCAUUGCUAGGAUUAUUUCCUAAGUUACUAAAAUUUGUAUCUUAUUUUAGGAUUGUAUUGGUGUCAUUGAUGGUACACAUAUCCAAGUUGCUAUUGCAAAGGACAAGAAAACUCCAUAUUAUAAUAGAAAUAGUGUGCCAACUUUUAAUGUGAUGGCAGCAUGUGAUUUUGAUUUA